GGGGUCGUGGUCUAGUAUGGUCUAAGAUUCGCGCCUGGGGCGUGCGAGGUCCGGGGUUCAAAUCCCCGCGACCCCACCA
rnacentral:tRNA from 1 species